CCUGGCGUCAGGAUGAACGCUAGCUACAGGCUUAACACAUGCAAGUCGAGGGCAGCAGUUAUCGAAGCUUGCUUUGAUAGAUGGCGACCAGCGCACGGGUGAGUAACGCGUAUCCAACCUUCCCAUCACUCAGGGAUAGCCCGCCGAAAGGCGAAUUAAUACCUGGAUGGUCUCCUUCGCGGACAUCUAACGAGGAGUAAGAUUUAUUGGUGAUGGAUGGGGAUGCGUCUGAUUAGGUAGUAGGCGGGGUAACGGCCCACCUAGCCGACGAUCAGUAGGGUUCUGAGAGGAAGGUCCCCCACAUUGGAACUGAGACACGGUCCAAACUCCUACGGGAGGCAGCAGUGAGGAAUAUUGGUCAAUGGACGGAAGUCUGAACCAGCCAAGUAGCGUGCAGGAUGACGGCCCUAUGGGUUGUAAACUGCUUUUGUGCGGGAAUAAAGUUUGGGACGUGUCCCAUUUUGCAUGUACCGCACGAAUAAGGACCGGCUAAUUCCGUGCCAGCCGCAGC
rnacentral:rRNA from 1 species